ACUUGAAAAACACCUUGUCGGUGAAGGAGUUGCCUAAACUUGAACAAAAUCCUCGUGAUCCCUCAUCUCUCAGAAGAGAUGAACUGCCUUUCUUAUCAAAUGCGUAAAUUUUUGGUCGUGCCAGCUGGACUCACUUCAGAUUUUAUUUUGGCUUUAAGCUAACAGGCAGCGACAAUUUUGUUUAUUGGGGAGUUAUCAAUGUAACUCGGUGUCUGACAGAGAAGAAGACCAUCUGCCUCAAUCCUCCCCUUAAAUUCACGAUCACUGUCCAAGCAUGUGUGGCUCUCAGAAGACAGAACAUCAUACUCGAGACUUGGAAAUUCUAGGAGCUAAUGUGUUCCAAAUCAACUUCAUAUCCUUUUUUUUUUUUUUUUUUUUUUACGGGGCCGGGAGUGGGUUGGUGAGAAAGAACAGAAGCACGGAUCUGACACACGCACAAAUGUUCCUGAAAUCACUGUAGCCUCUGUGUGUUUUCAUUCUGGUAUUUACUGUUCUGCUCUAAGGUCUCGGUACAGUAGAAAGAGUCCAGGUAUGGGAAUGUUAGGAAGAAUACAAGGCUGAAUAUCAAGAACCUCGGUCCUAGUCUCAGCUCUGCCAACAACUAAGGUGUUCCAGCACAUCCUGAGUCCUUAGCAGGACUAAGGACUCUGCUCUGGCUGAAAGAACCCUAAGCUCAUUUCCCCAGAAGAAACCAUCAUGAAGUUAUAUCUGAUUGUGUGACAGCUUCCUAGGCAGAGAGGUGGCCUCUGAGCUCAGCCAAAGAGGAGAGCUGGUGAGAGCAAUGUCGCAGGCUUCAGUCCUACAAGGCCAGUUCACGGUGCUGUUUCCUGACUGUGGUUGACACUCCCAUCUUCAAGUUUUGUGCAAAGGCUCUCAAUGGGAAUCAAAACAUGGAUAAUCAGGCUGGAGUCUGUGCCUGUGCGUAAGACGCUGAAGCCCACCCCUUUGAGUGCUUAGGCGCUUGGCCUUUAAUCCUCAUAACACCCAUGUAAAGUACAGUCAUUAUAUCCAUUUUACAGAGAAGGAAACUGAGGCUCAGAGAAUUUAUGUGACUCUCCAAAGGAGCAAGGAAUAAAAUUCAUUUUCCCAGUGCAUCAUGCAAUUUCCCAAAAUUGCCUGCUCUAAUUCAAAAGAUUCCUCUUUUUUGGGGGGUGCCUGGGUGGCUCAGUCAUUAAGCGUCUGCCUUCGGCUCAGGUCAUGAUCCCAGGGUCCUGGGAUCGAGCCCCACAUCGGGCUCCCUGCUCAGUGGGGGGCCUACUUCUCCCUCUCCCACUCCCCCUGCUUGUGUUCCCUCUCUCGCUGUGUCUCUCUCUGUCAAAUAAAUAAAAUCUUAAAACAAACAAAAGAUUCCUCUUUUUAUAUGAAGCAAAAGAUGAUCAAAAAGUACCAGCACCUGAGAACAAAGAACAGAAGUGACAAUAGUCAAUGCUAAGUGACAAGUCUGAAUCAGUCCUUGAAUUUAUUUUAGUCCAUAUGGGAGAUAUAUUUAAUCACAUUCAGAAGAAUGAAAAUCAUAUUCAGAAGAAUGAAAACUUGAAGUUGAAGUAAC